rnacentral:rRNA from 1 species
AGGUGGGAGGCUUUGAAACCAGGACGCCAGUUUUGGCGGAGCCAUCCUUGGGAUACCACCCUUGUAGUACUGGGACUCUAACCAUAGGCCAUGAAUCUGGUCUUGGGACACUGUCAGGUGGGCAGGUUGACUGGGGCGGUCGCCUCCCAAAAGGUAACGGAGGCGCUCAAAGGUUCUCUCAGUACGGUCGGAAAUCGUACGUAGAGGGUAAAGGCAAAAGAGAGCUUGAUUGCAAGACAUACAGGUCGAGCAAGGAUGAAAAUCGGACUUAGUGAUCCGGUGGGUCUGCGUGGAAGGGCCAUCGCUCAACGGAUAAAAGCUACCCUGGGGAUAA